CUUCGGGACGGAGAGAGCGGCGUACGGGUGCGGAACACGUGUGCAACCUGCCUUUAUCUGGGGGAUAGCCUUUCGAAAGGAAGAUUAAUACCCCAUAACAUAUGAUACGGCAUCGUAUUAUAUUGAAAACUCCGGUGGAUAGAGAUGGGCACGCGCAAGAUUAGAUAGUUGGUGAGGUAACGGCUCACCAAGUCAGUGAUCUUUAGGGGGCCUGAGAGGGUGAUCCCCCACACUGGUACUGAGACACGGACCAGACUCCUACGGGAGGCAGCAGUGAGGAAUAUUGGACAAUGGGUGAGAGCCUGAUCCAGCCAUCCCGCGUGAAGGACUAAGGCCCUAUGGGUUGUAAACUUCUUUUAUACUGGGAUAAACCUACUUACGUGUA
rnacentral:rRNA from 1 species